UAAUGGGUGAUUCCGACGUCUC
rnacentral:siRNA from 1 species